rnacentral:rRNA from 1 species
CGUUUAGCGGCGGACGGGUGAGUAACACGUGGGUAACCUACCUAUAAGACUGGGAUAACUUCGGGAAACCGGAGCUAAUACCGGAUAAUAUUUCGAACCGCAUGGUUCGAUAGUGAAAGAUGGUUUUGCUAUCACUUAUAGAUGGACCUGCGCCGUAUUAGCUAGUUGGUAAGGUAACGGCUUACCAAGGCGACGAUACGUAGCCGACCUGAGAGGGUGAUCGGCCACACUGGAACUGAGACACGGUCCAGACUCCUACGGGAGGCAGCAGCA